GACGAACGCUGGCGGCGUGCUUAACACAUGCAAGUCGAGCGGAGCGGCGGACGGGUGAGUAAUGCCUAGGAAUCUGCCCGGUCGUGGGGGAUAACGUCCGGAAACGGGCGCUAAUACCGCAUACUGUCAGAUUAGCCUAGGUCGGAUUAGCUAGUUGGUGGGGUAAAGGCCUACCAAGGCGACGAUCCGUAACUGGUCUGAGAGGAUGAUCAGUCAAACUGGAACUGAGACACGGUCCAGACUCCUCCGGGAGGCAGCAGUGGGGAAUAUUGGACAAGGGGCGGAAGCCUGAUCCAGCCAUGCCGCGUGUGUGAAGAAGGUCUUCGGAUUGUAAAGCACUUUAAGUUGGGAGGCGUUACCAACAGAAUAAGCACCGGCUAACUUCGUGCCAGCAGCCGCGGUAAUAC
rnacentral:rRNA from 1 species